CCACCCGCAACCCACGUGAGCUCCACCACCUUCUCCGGUCCUUCACCUCCACUAACCAACUCCACCCCCCACAACCCGCCCCGGUCCAAUGCCAAUUGACCCGAACCCGGCCCCGCACUCUCCACCCAAUCCUUAUCCCACCACCGCCACCACCACAACCGCCACCAACGCCACCCCUUUAACACCUCCCCUACCCCCCAACCCAUGCCCCCGCCGAACCCUAACCCUAACCCUAACNGCCACCCCUUUAACACCUCCCCUACCCCCCAACCCAUGCCCCCGCCGAACUCUAACCCUAACCCUAACCCUAACCCUAACCCUAACCCGAGCGUCUCUCCCCCCUGAUCCAUGUCCGCCUUAGCAGGAGAGCCCGAGCGCCGUCCCCUGCCUCCUCCGCCUCCGGCGCC
rnacentral:lncRNA from 1 species